UUUGGUUUCAUCGAUCAAUCAAGAAGAGGUGAGUGAGUUUCGCAAGGCAUGCUGGGUAUGCUACCCUUCCUUUUUUGGCGGUUUUACCUCGUAGUAACUUUCCAGAAAAACGAAAGGGUUAUGAUGAGAGAUUAUGUCAUACCCUGGCACAUGCUUUGUCCAAUGGACCAUGGAAGGGACUUUACUUGGCUGACGAGGACGCACCUCACCAGUAUCAGAGCAACAGCUGUGGGGUGUUUAUGCUGAUGGGGGACAUGCUCUCUAUCAGGAGGUGGUGGUUGGACAGCUGUGAGACCUUUAUGCUUGAAAGGUUUAUAUACUGUGUCCAUGUUGCUAUUUACUUAUUUUUGGUGCUCACGAAGAUCGUAGCCAAUACACUUGUCUCUCUGUCUCUAGCCCUGCAGAACUAGCUGGCUCCUUCUCACCCUCUCCAUCUCCCCAUCUCAGUUACACCUUCCAAUCACUAAGCAGUGAAAGCCCUGCAGGACUAGCUGGCACACCAAGCUCACCCUCUCCAUCUCCCCAUCUCAGCCACACGCUCCAAUCUGGCACAACAGAGGACAGGCCAUUCUUGCCAACCUAAGUCCUUCAGUAAAUUGUACAAGAGACGCUGAGACUGUACAUGGCGAUGCUUGGCGUGUUCAACAGGGUUUCAAACACAUUCCGAGAACUAAUCAAGCCUCUCCAUCAUUCCAUAUAUAUAAAUGACAGUUUGGCAGGGGACAUUAAGCUUAAUAAAGACAAUCUCAUCUACAUAACGGUUAGAAAGAUUUACAACAAUGCAGGCUGUGUCAGUGGCCUUGCGCUACGCCUCAAAGGCUUCUCAAAAAAGAAGAAUUGGCCAAGCGCACCCCUGGUACUGAGGCACGUUGCAUAUGGCAGGUUUGUCAUAAAAGAUGUCUGCCUAGCAUAAUGUUCUUUUAUUACUCCUUUUUCGUUUUAUUUGGGACGUCAUUUUUGCAAUCCCUUUCAUUUGUAAAUGUACAUACUACUGUAGUAAAUGUAUCUGCCCAGAAAUGCUGGUAUUUUAUUACUCCUUUCUUUUUUGUUUUUGUGACAAAUGCUAUACGAUGUAUAUAACAUACAUUUGUGCCUACGAUGUAUGUUGUAAGGUUAAUUGUUACAGAGCAAUUACUGUAUUUUGUCUUUAUUGAAAACAUUCAGUGGGAAAAGUAAGUGAACACUUCGAGUCAAAUGGCCUACUGUUUGAGCCUUCAUAGUGUCUGGUAACUGGAUUUGAACUGCAUAAUGUCCCAAGUGUUAUUUUAAUCUAUUAAUUAUUUAAUUUGGGCAUAUUCUUAAACAACUAUAUCAAACAUCUCACUUAUACCUAAUACCCUACCUAUACUAACCCAGAAGAUA